rnacentral:misc_RNA from 1 species
UUUCCCUUGAACUAACAACUCUGUAUAAUCCAAAAAUUGUUUUGGUCACACCCCUCUCCAAGAAAUAUUGAUAUUGAACAACUUUCUAUAAGACGCAAAAUCAUUUUGUUACAAAACUUCUACAUUUUUCUUCUGAGGAUCCGACAACUUAUGUAGGAACUUCCCAACAAACCGAACCGGUUGUUGCUUCCACCUUCUACAUCUCCCCGUGAGAUGUAGACGGGGCGA